rnacentral:rRNA from 1 species
UACGUAGGGACCGAGCGUUGUCCGGAAUCAUUGGGCGUAAAGAGCGUGUAGGCGGCUAUUUAAGUCCUGCGUGAAAUCUUGCGGCUCAACCGCAGACGGUCGUGGGAAACUGGAUGGCUAGAGUGCGGGAGAGGAGAGUGGAAUUCCCGGUGUAGCGGUGAAAUGCGCAGAUAUCGGGAAGAACACCCGUGGCGAAGGCGGCUCUCUGGAACGCAACUGACGCUGAGACGCGAAAGCGUGGGGAGCAAACAGG